UAGGGAAUAUUGCGCAAUGGACGAAAGUCUGACGCAGCCACGCCGCGUGAGUGAGGAAGGCCUUCGGGUUGUAAAGCUCUGUCGCCUGGGAAAAACGGCUAUCCGGGGAAAGUUCGGGUAGCGUGAUGGUACCAGGAAAGGAAGCACCGGCAAACUCUGUGCCAGCAGCCGCGGUAAUACAGAGGGUGCAAGCGUUGUUCGGAAUUACUGGGCGUAAAGCGUGCGUAGUCGGUAUUGAGAGUCGCGGGUGAAAUCCCAGGGCUUAACCCUGGAACUGCCUGCGAGACCUCAGUACUAGAGUGUGAGAGGGGAUAGUGGAAUACCCAGUGUAGCGGUGAAAUGCGUAGAGAUUGGGUGGAACACCGGUGGCGAAGGCGGCUAUCUGGCUCACAACUGACGAUCAGGCACGAAAGCGUGGGGAGCAAACAGGAUUAGAUACCCACGUAGUCCCUGAGCGGGCUGGCAAGGCGCAU
rnacentral:rRNA from 1 species